rnacentral:rRNA from 1 species
UUUAUUGGAGAGUUUGAUCCUGGCUCAGGACGAACGCUGGCGGCGUGCCUAAUACAUGCAAGUCGAGCGGGCCUGUCUGGAGCUUGCUCCAGACAGGUUAGCGGCGGACGGGUGAGUAACACGUAGGCAACCUGCCCGCAAGACCGGGAUAACGUAGGGAAACUUACGCUAAUACCGGAUAGGGCACUCUCUCGCAUGAGAGAG